UACAGAGGUCCCAAGCGUUGUUCGGAUUCACUGGGCGUAAAGGGCGCGUAGGCGGCUCGGUAAGUAGGAGGUGAAAUCCUGAGGCUCAACCUCAGGGCUGCCUUCUAAACUGCCAGGCUUGAGCACAGUAGAGGCAGGUGGAAUUCCCGGUGUAGCGGUGGAAUGCGUAGAGAUCGGGAAGAACAUCGGUGGCGAAGGCGGCCUGCUGGGCUGUUGCUGACGCUGAGGCGCGACAGCGUGGGGAGCAAACAGG
rnacentral:rRNA from 1 species